GAUGAACGCUGGCGGCGUGCCUAACACAUGCAAGUCGAACGGAACGAAAAGAGCUUGCUCUUGGCGUUUAGUGGCGGACGGGUGAGUAACACGUGAGUAACCUGCCUUUCAGAGGGGAAUAAUGUCUGGAAACGGACACUAAUACCGCAUAAUGUAUUUUAACCGCAUGGUUGAGAUACCAAAGGAGCAAUCCGCUGAAAGAUGGACUCGCGUCUGAUUAGCCAGUUGGCGGGGUAACGGCCCACCAAAGCGACGAUCAGUAGCCGGACUGAGAGGUUGAACGGCCACAUUGGGACUGAGAGACGGCCCAGAAUCAUACGGGAGGAAGCAGUGGGGGAUAUUGCACAAUGGGUGCAAGCCUGAUGCAGCAACGCCGCGUGAGUGAAGAAGUAUUUCGGUAUGUAAAGCUCUAUCAGCAGGGAAGAAAGACUCUUUAGGAGUGAUGACGGUACCUGACUAAGAAGCCCCGGCUAACUACGUGCCAGCCGCCGCGGUAAUAC
rnacentral:rRNA from 1 species